UACGAAGGGGGCUAGCGCUGCUCGGAAUUACUGGGCGUAAAGGGCGCGUAGGCGGACAACUUAGUCAGAGGUGAAAGCCCAGGGCUCAACCUUGGAAUUGCCUUUGAUACUGGUUGUCUUGAGUUCGGGAGAGGUGAGUGGAAUGCCGAGUGUAGAGGUGAAAUUCGUAGAUAUUCGGCGGAACACCAGUGGCGAAGGCGACUCACUGGCCCGAUACUGACGCUGAGGCGCGAAAGCGUGGGGAGCAAACAGG
rnacentral:rRNA from 1 species